rnacentral:lncRNA from 1 species
GAAGGUUGAUGUACCUAGCACUGGUAAGGGAAAAGGAAAGAUGAACAAGUUUUGAAGACUUGUAAUAUGAUAUUUGAUUUUCAGAUUUUAAUUGAAUGGUUGUAAUGAAAUUUAUUUAAUUUCCGCAUUUGAAGGAUUGUAUUUAAAGGUUAGACAACCUGGGAGAUUUUUAUUAUGUAACCCUUUAAUGGGAAAGGUUUUAUUUAUCCAGUUUUAUUGUGAUUGGGUAGUUAGAUAUGAAUGUUUGAUUAAGUGAAUACCAAAUCCUGUGGGAAUGAAGUACCUGGGUUUGGGGGUGUCACAGGAAACAUGAUAAGGUGCAAAAUUGCCCCUGAGGUUUGGGUCGAAGUCCCACUUAGACCCAAAACUAUUUUUUCAAAAGUGCCCUUGACGUUAUAAAAUUCAGCUCAACUACGCCUCUCCCGUUAACAGACAUGCCACCUUGACAAACAAAACUGACACUUCAUCUAAUUUUACUGACGAGGUUGGAGAGAGAAAUUUAGAACAUCUAAAAUAAUAAAUUCACAUAGGAGCUAAAUUUCUCUUUUCAGUCUCGACAGUAAAAUUAGAUGAGGUGUUAAAUUCGUUUGUCAAGGUGGCAUGUCUGUUAGCGGGAGGGGCGUAGUUGAGAUGAAUUUUAUAACGUCAAGGGCACUUUUGGCCAAAAAAAAAAUUUAUGUCUAAUUGGGACUUCGGCCCAAACCUCAGAGAUAAUUUUGCACCUUAUCCCUAUUUAAAAUUAAUUAAUGCUUAAUUGAAAUUUUUAAACGACAAAUAUUAAGAGAAAAAUAUUUCUCUAAAAUGACAUUUAAAAAAUGACCGAGGGAGUACAUUAUAAGAAAUUAAGAACAUACAUUUAGGAAAUGGUAAGAUUGCAAAUUCCCAUAAGUUCCUUAAUUUUGUCCUCGAUCUCCUCCAACUCUGCAAGCUGAUUGCCAUCCAACCACUGCAUUGCUUGCUCAAUACCAUCCUCCAUUUUCUUCUUGUUAGCUGCCCGAAGCUUAGAACUCAACUUCUCGCCCCUGAUGGCGUUCCUCAUGUUAUAAGCGUAGUUCUCCAACGCAUUCUUGGCCUCGACCUUUUUCUUUUGCUCUUUAUCUUCAGCUUUGUACUUGUCAGCUUCUCGUACCAUCUUCUCAAACUCCUCCUUUGACGGUCUCCCCUUAUCGUUAGUUAUCGUUAUCUUGUUCUUCUGGCCAGCAGUCUUAUCCUCAGCAGAGACAUUCAACACCCCAUUUGCAUCAAUGUCAAAGCAGACAGUAAUCUGAGGAAUACCCCUUGGGGCCGGAGGGAUGCUAGUGAGUACAAAUUUUCCCAAUAAGAUAUCCCAAUAAGAUAUCAUCUCUUGUCCUUGUUUUCUCGCCCUCAAAGACUUUAAUCAACAGGUCAGGUUGAUUAUCUGCAGGGGUUGAGAAAACUUGUUCCUUCUUGGUGGGAAUAGUUGUAUUCUUUGGAAUAAGGACAGACAUUACUCCACCAGUAAUUUCAAUCCCAAGGGAAAAAGGAGUGACAUCCAGCAACAUUAAGUCCUGAACAUUUUCAUUGCCGUCGCCAUUAAGGAUUGCAGCUUGCACAGCGGCUCCAUAUGCAACGGCCUCUUCAGGAUUUAUGCUCAUGCAGAGCUCCUUCCAAUUGAAAAAGUCUCGCAAUAGCUGCUGGACUUUUGGAAUUCUAGUAGAUCCACCGACGAGGACCACAUCAUGGACGCUACUCCUGUCCAUAGUGGCACCCUUCAAACACUUCUCCACUAGCUCUAUACAAUUUCUGAAGAGAUCCAUAUUUCACUCCUCAAUCCUGGCACGGGUGAUAUUUGCAGAGAAAUUGAUACCCUCGUACAAAUAUUCAACGUCAAUGGUGGUCCUUGCAGUAGACGAGAGAGUCAUUUUUGCUCUUUCGCAAGCAGUCCUUAAUCUCCUAAUAGAUUUAGGAUUUCUAGUUAUGUCCUUUUUGUGCUUCCUUUUGAACUCCUGAACAAAAUGAUUCAUCAGACGAAUGUCAAAGUCCUCUCCUCCAAGGUGAGUAUCACCGGCUGUAGCUUUCACUUCAAAUAUACCCUCUUCGAUUGUGAGAAGAGAAACAUCAAGACUACCACCACCAAGAUCAAAAAUAAGCACAUUUUUCUCCCCGCCUGUACUACUACCAGACAGCUUCUUGUCAAGACCAUAAGCGAUGGCAGCAGCAGUAGGCUCAACGAGUACACGCAUGACAUUGAGGCCAGCAAUGGCUCCUGCAUCAAUCGUGGCAUGGCGUUGAGAGUCAUUAAAGUAGGCAGGGACAGUAACAACAGCAUUCUUUACUGUCAAUCCAAGAUAGUUCUCGGCAAUCUCUUUCAUCUUAAUGAGAACCAUAGAAGAGAUCUCUUCAGCAGAAAAUUGCUUCUCCUCACCUUUGUAGUUGACCACAAUCGUGGGUCUUUCACCAGGACCAGGAAUGACCUUAAAUGGCCAAUGUAUCAUGUCACUUUGUACCGAUGAAUCGCUGAAUUUCCUACCUAUCAAUCGUUUAGCAUCUUGAACAAAACCAAAUUACUUGUUAUAAGUUUCAGACAAAUGUUCAAGAAAAUUAAUUAAAUAGAAUAGAAAUCCUCUGCUAUUAUAUAUCAAAAUAAAAUAAAUUUAAUUGUAUAAUUCAAAAGAAACCCUAUUGUCAUACUACACAAGUCAUAUAUUUGGUCAAAAAGUUAAAUGACAAUAUGACAUGCAUCUCGCUAACAUAUGAAGAAAACUGACUGCAUUCCAAUAUCAAGAGGGAAAAAAAUUAUUAACAUAAUAGACAAUAACAAGCACAAAAUUUGUGAUUUCUAUAAAAUCAUCUGCUCCGUGCAACAGAAUAGAGAACCUAAAAUUCUAAUGUAACAUAUGCGUGGCAUACUUACUGAACACGGUGUUGACAGGGUUCAUCCCGGCCUGGUUGUAUGCAGCAUCGCCGAUGAGACGCUCUGUAUCAGUGAAUGCGACAUAAGACCGUGUCGUCCUGCUGCCCUGAUCGUUGGCGAUGAUCUCAACUCGGUUGUGUUGCCAAAUUCCGACGCACGAGUAUGUCAUUCCAAGAUCAAUUCCGAUUGCAGGUCCUUCUCCUUUUCCGCCCAUUUUGCCAAAAAAUAUAUAUAUAUAUAUUUCAAAACUUUGAGGAGAAAUCAGAAAGUUAACCAGAGAGAAAGAAGCAUAAGAUUUUUGUUCAUUUAACGAAUGUGAACCAAGCAACAUUAUAAGAGUUUCAUCAAGGAGGAAGUAGGAGGCAGAUACAGUUGACUUUAGAAUUAUUCUCUGCCUGAAUAUGUAUACUUACAUAUUCACAUAUUUUGUAUAGUCAUAGCCUUCAAUUCAUCCCCAUAAUUCACGAGUCAACUUUCCAAAAUACAAUGUACCAAUAGACCAAGUCCAUUGCUGGCUUCAAUAUUUUUAGUAGGCGACUUGAACUUGAUUAGUUGGUAGCACUAAUAGUUAUCCACUUACGGUCUGUUUGGUUACAACAUUGAAUUGGGAAUGGAAUGGAAUGGGCAUUCCUAUUCUUAUGUUUGGUCAGAACGAGAAGCGACACGAUUUUGAUAGUUUUUUUUUAAGUUUGUCGAUUGGAAUGGAAUGGAAUGGUCAAUCUUUACCCUGAGGAAAUAAACAUUCCUUUAAACAGAUAAAUAGACAUUCUAUUGGAAUGCUCAUUCCCUUCCCUUUUAAGUAACCAAUCAUAAGAAUGUAUUGGAAUGGCCAUUUCAUUGCCCCUAAACCAAACAGGCCAAUACUUUCACUCACUACCAAAAUUAAUAGUCAACUAUUCUUGGGAUAAGGAUUUUAAAUUUUUAUUUCCAAAAUACAUGUCAGGUGUGAACUAUACAUACAAGAGCAAAUUGAUUCUCAUUACUUAAAAAGAACAAUAAAUUUGCCUCGUAAAAAAUGCUAGUUUAAGAUAUGGACAACUGUACAAAAUAUACUCCCUCUGUUCCUAAAAGAUUGUACAAAGAUUAAGAAAUAUAAUUAAUACCUAGCGAAAAUACUAUACUGCCCUUAUUAAUUGUCUCAACCAAUUAUUCCCCUCCCAAUGUUUCUUAUUCAAUUCAACCAAUUACUUCUCAUUCAACCAAUUACUACUUGGAUUAUUGCAUUAAAUUGAAUAAGAAUCAUUGAGAAGGGAAGAAAACUUUAAAUAGAAGAAAGCUUUAAAUAAGGGUAAAGUAGGGAAAAAAUAACUAAUAUGUAUUGAUAAACUCAAAACGACAAUCUUUUUGGAACAAAAAUUACUUCCUAAAACGACAAUCUUUUAGGAACGGAGGGAGUAUAAAAGAAUCUCCGAGUAACAAACUCCCAAAGUCCUUCUAGGGGGACAUUAUUCUAGUGACAUUCUAGCGAUAUUUUUUUAUUAUUAUUAUUUUUGUACGGACUAUGUUUUUUGUAUGUAUUCAAAUUACACCUAAAACACUAACACUGUUUUCUGUAAAAAUUUCAGUUGAAAUAAAUAUUAUACAUUUUUUGAGAGAGUACAAAAAAAAAAAUAAGUCGCUAGAAAUGUCACUAGAACAAUGUUCCCCUAGACUUAUUGAACUCCCAAAUGGUCUGUUUGUGAGUUUUAUUUUGGAAAGGAAGGGAAGGCCCCGAAUUAAAACUAACAGACAUGCCCUAAAUAACUAAUCGUUUGAGAUGAUGAACUUGAUCAGCAUGUGGUUAUAGUUGAUGGUACAAGAGAAUGUUCAUGUAAAAGCACAUGUAGCAGCUUCAUGAUUGCACCUUCAGCUCUGUGUGACGCAUCUGCAGCAACAUCAGGACCAGUAGCAGCAUUAUGCUUAUCAUUCCCUCAAGUUGGUAGUGUGAAAUAAAUCGAGAAUGAAAGAGGGAUUAAGUAAGGUAUGUUGGCUGUUUGGAAAAAGGAAGAUGAAAUAGCGCAAUGACACCUUACUUAAAUUUGUUCCUUACAAGAUCGAUGAUGACAAUCAACUUGAUUUAAUGUGUUUUGUUCUUUCAUGCAUGAAAAACGGGCUUUUAAGCAUUAUAAAUUUUAUCUUGAUUAUUAGGGUUCAUAGGAAGAUUUGUAUUCUGCUUUUGCAGAAGACCAAAAGGCUAUAUGUUCAAUCCUCCUGCUUUUCCCAAGAGAGGGGAGGGGGCAAAAUGGGAAAUCUCAAACAUUACACUAACAGAAACUGGAUCUUCUGGUCAUUGGAUAUGUUCCAAAUCAGUAUCACAGUAUGCACCACUACCUUAGCUAAGUAUAUUAACUAGUCUCUCUAUGCUCUAGCUAUUUCCCUGUGUUUUAAACAAGCGGCUUGAAUUGAAAAGGCAUAGAAAGCUUGUCAAAUUCAACAACAUAGGUGUAAAAAUGCACCAAACUGCAUUGUUUAAACAAGAGAGUAGUGAUUUCCUCUGCCUUAAGAGACCGUAUGCUACACAUAAAUUAAGUUGAAAAGAAACUUGUGCUAGUCUGAAACCAGUUCAAACAAAAAUUGACAAAUACUCAAAACCUCUUCAUAAUACUAGAAACAGUUUUAACAAAAACUGCCAACACUUCCACAGCAUAAACAUGUUUAAAACAAAUGUAAUGUUUGAACAGAAAUUUAAAAUUGUAUCCACCAAAAAAUCAUAACAUAUUAAUAUUGAAAUUUCGCACUUAAUCAACUUCCUCGAUCUUGGGGCCUGCACCGCUUGCACCAACUGAGGGACCAUCCUCUUCCAUACCACAAGCCAUAUCAGGAACACCACCACCACCAUAAAUUUUGGCAAUGAUGGGAUUGCAAAUGCCUUCAAGGUCCUUCUUCUUGUCCUCGAACUCUCCUGCCUCCGCAAGCUGAUUGCCAUCUAGCCACUGGAUUGCCUGCUCGAUAGCAUCCUCCAAUUUCUUCUUGUCAGCAGCCGAAAGCUUGGAAUUGAUUUUCUCAUCCUUGACUGUGUUCCUCAUAUUAUAUGCAUAAUUCUCCAAUUCAUUCUUGGUCUCAACCUUCUUCUUGUGCUCCUCAUCUUCAGUCUUGUACUUCUCAGCUUCUUGUACCAUCUUCUCAAUCUCUUCUUUCGAUAGUCUCCCCUUGUCAUUGGUGAUUGUUAUCUUGUUCUUCUGGCCAGCAGUCUUGUCCUCAGCAGAGACAUUUAGCACCCCAUUUGCAUCAAUAUCAAAGCAGACAGUAAUCUGAGGAACACCCCUAGGGGCAGGAGGGAUGCCAGAGAGUUCAAAUUUUCCCAACAAGUUGUUAUCCUUAGUUCUUGUUCUCUCGCCCUCAUAUACUUGGAUCAGCACACCAGGCUGAUUAUCGGCAUAGGUUGAGAAUAUUUGUUCCUUCUUGGUCGGAAUAGUUGUAUUCCUUGGAAUAAGGACAGUCAUUACUCCACCAGCAGUUUCCAAUCCAAGGGACAGAGGAGUCACAUCCAACAGCAGUAGGUCCUGAACCUUUUCAUUGCCCUCUCCAGUCAAAAUGGCAGCUUGAACAGCGGCACCAUAGGCAACAGCCUCAUCGGGAUUUAUGCUCUUGCACAACUCCUUUCCAUUGAAAAAGUCCUGCAACAGCUGCUGUACCUUGGGAAUUCUAGUAGACCCGCCAACAAGGACGACAUCAUGGACACUACUCUUGUCCAUCUUCGCAUCCCUCAAACAUUUUUCCACAGGCUCCAUACACUUUCUAAACAGAUCCAUGUUCAACUCUUCGAAUCGAGCACGAGUAAUAGUUGUGUAGAAAUCAACACCCUCGUACAAAGAAUCAAUCUCAAUAGUUGUCUGGGCAGUAGAAGAGAGGGUUCUCUUUGCCCUUUCACAUGCAGUCCUCAACCUCCUAAGAGAUCUAGCAUUUCCAGUUAUGUCUUUCUUGUGCUUUCUCUUGAACUCCUGGACAAAAUGAUUCACCAUACGGUUGUCAAAGUCCUCUCCACCAAGGUGAGUGUCACCAGCUGUUGCCUUCACCUCAAAAAUGCCCUCUUCAAUUGUGAGAAGAGAAACGUCAAAUGUACCACCACCAAGAUCAAAAAUAAGCACAUUCUUCUCGCCUGAAUUACUCGACUUUUUGUCAAGACCAUAAGCAAUGGCGGCAGCAGUUGGCUCAUUGAUGAUACGCAAUAC